GAUCCUGGCUCGGGAUGAACGCUAGCUACAGGCUUAACACAUGCAAGUCGAGGGGCAGCAUCAUCAAAGCUUGCUUUGAUGGAUGGCGACCGGCGCACGGGUGAGUAACACGUAUCCAACCUGCCGACAACACUGGGAUAGCCUUUCGAAAGAAAGAUUAAUACCGGAUGGUAUAGUUUUCCCGCAUGGGGUGACUAUUAAAGAAUUUCGGUUGUCGAUGGGGAUGCGUUCAAUUAGGCAGUUGGG
rnacentral:rRNA from 1 species